UACGUAGGGUGCGAGCGUUGUCCGGAAUUAUUGGGCGUAAAGCGUCCGCAGGUGGCAGUUCAAGUCUGCUGUCAAAGACCGGGGCUUAACUUCGGAAAGGCAGUGGAAACUGAACAGCUAGAGUAUGGUAGGGGCAGAGGGAAUUCCUGGUGUAGCGGUGAAAUGCGUAGAGAUCAGGAAGAACAUCGGUGGCGAAGGCGGGUCUCUGGGCCGAUACUGACGCUGAGGAGCGAAAGCGUGGGGAGCGAACAGG
rnacentral:rRNA from 1 species